rnacentral:rRNA from 1 species
AUACGGAGGAUCCGAGCGUUAUCCGGAUUUAUUGGGUUUAAAGGGAGCGUAGAUGGGUUGUUAAGUCAGUUGUGAAAGUUUGCGGCUCAACCGUAAAAUUGCAAUUGAUACUGGUAGUCUUGAGUACAGUUGAGGUAGGCGGAAUUCGUGGUGUAGCGGUGAAAUGCUUAGAUAUCACGAAGAACUCCGAUUGCGAAGGCAGCCUACUAAACUGCCACUGACAUUGAUGCUCGAAAGUGUGGGUAUCAAACAGGAUUAGAUACCCUGGUAGUCCACACGGUAAACGAUGAAUACUCGCUGUUUGCGAUAUACUGCAAGCGGCCAAGCGAAAGCGUUAAGUAUUCCACCUGGGGAGUACGCCGGCAACGGUGAAACUCAAAGGAAUUGACGGGG